UACGUAGGGACCAAGCGUUGUUCGGAUUUAUUGGGCGUAAAGAGCUCGUAGGCGGUUGGGUAAGUCGGGUGUGAAAAACUCCAGGCUCAACUUGGAGACGCCACCCGAUACUGCUCUGACUUGAGUUCGGUAGGGGAGUGGGGAAUUCCUGGGUGUAGCGGUGAAAUGACGCAGAUAUCAGGAGGAACACCGGUGGCGAAGGCGCCACUCUGGGCCGAAACUGACGCUGAGGAGCGAAAGCGUGGGUAGCAAACAGG
rnacentral:rRNA from 1 species